UUUUGCCUUUUGCCAUCUAAUUUUGGUGUCUCUCCCCCGCUGCGCCUUUUUUUUCGGGGGAGGGAGAUUGUGUACCCGCAACGCGUCGUUGAUGAAUGUGGCACAGAACAUGGUAAAACCUCACCAGAAAAGUUGCCUCGUUUUCCUGUGCUUGUGGCAUGUUUUGGCUUGUCGUUUUUGGCCUGCUCUUAGCCCUGGCAUUAAUCAGGUUGCUUCGUGGUGCGUCUGACACUGUCAUAGGAGGCGUGCGAGGGGCAGACCGGAGGGAUCUACUUAUUAUUUCACUGUAAUUAAUAAAGAUUAAACGCUGUGACACGACGCCACAGACUGGAAAACUAAAAGGGGGAAGCACCCAAACCAAAUUCCCCUCUUUCUGGUGCAAGUUUUGUCUAGUUUUCUGCUCUGUAAUUUUCACUGGAUGCCAUCGGAUUUGUUCUGCUCUUGACAGCUUCCAUAUUUAAGCAAAAUAAGCAGACGGAAUGGAGCAAAGAUUAAU
rnacentral:lncRNA from 1 species